UACGUAGGGGGCAAGCGUUGUCCGGAUUUAUUGGGCGUAGAGCGCGUGUAGGCGGCCAGGUAGGUCCGCUGUGAAAACCCGAGGCUCAACCUCGGGACGUCGGCGGAAACCAUCUGGCUAGAGUCCGGAAGAGGAGAGUGGAAUUCCCGGUGUAGCGGUGAAAUGCGCAGAUAUCGGGAAGAACACCCGUGGCGAAGGCGGCUCUCUGGGACGGUACUGACGCUGAGACGCGAAAGCGUGGGGAGCGAACAGG
rnacentral:rRNA from 1 species